UGAGUAUAUUCUGAUUUUUAUUUUGUUUUAUUGAUAUGAUCAUGGACAUAAUUUAUGGAGUUCAAGAUGGAGAUCAAGUUUCGAUCCUUGGAGGUUGUAUAUAGUUGUUCUUGAGGAAAGUGUGUACUCAGUUUUUCUGAUUUUGUUCUUGGAACCUGUCCUGGUGGGGGCAGGGUUCAUUGUUAGUAAUCUUGCAAGGUGUGUUCGAGGCUCAGAAUUGAUCAAAAAGGAUGAAUUUGGUUAUGGCAUUAUAAUUAAAAUUGUUAUUCAGAGGUUGUAUUUAGGAGUAUAUAUUCUUAUUUGAGAAUAAAAUAUUAUAUUGUUUUGGGAA